rnacentral:rRNA from 1 species
GAUCAUGGCUCAGGAUGAACGCUAGCUACAGGCUUAACACAUGCAAGUCGAGGGGCAGCAUGAACUUAGCUUGCUAAGUUUGAUGGCGACCGGCGCACGGGUGAGUAACACGUAUCCAACCUGCCGAUGACUCGGGGAUAGCCUUUCGAAAGAAAGAUUAAUACCCGAUGGCAUAAUUCUUCCGCAUGGUAGAACUAUUAAAGAAUUUCGGUUCAUCGAUGGGGAGUGCGUUCCCAUUAGG